GGGCCUGUUCCUUUUGAACUGACUGCUGGCCAGGAAACAUCAGGACUCAGCAUGGAAAGAGAGAGCAGAUCUGGAAUCUACUGUGUGCCAUGAUCACUCUGUCCCUGGAAUUGUUCCAGAGAUGCCACACGGUGAAGGUCACAGCCCGGUAAACCAAAUGCUGUUCACAGGUACAUAACUGAAAUGCAAGCUAAAAACUGCUGCCAACGCAAACACAGUUAGAAAACUUCCAGCAUUCGGUGCUCCUGGCAUCUCCAAAAGGUAUUAGAACCUGACCGUCCUGGGCCUGUACUGUGCAAGAUGCCAAUACGUGGGAGCUCAAAGUUUAUCCUGCCUCUUCAAACCCGGGGAAGCCUCCACCCUACUUCCUGAUGGCCUUUCAGUUGCCUCUGACCUGGAUCCUCGAGUCACUGCAUCUUGUGGCGUCUACCUGAGAGCAAGUAAACCCAGGGGUCACAGAGGAAACAGAGCAACAUCGUGUAGUGUGAAGGCCCAGCUUCCAUUCCGUAUUUAAGCAUCCGUCUUGUCUUUUCUCCGGUGGUGCCAGAGACAGGGAUCCUGAGAGCGAAGUGCAGUGCAGACACUUGCUGAGCUUCAGGGCUUCCUCCUUCAAUCAUGUGGGGGCUUUCCCGGGAUCACUGUGUUUCGGAUUGGCAUAAGAGGGUGUGCCAG
rnacentral:lncRNA from 1 species